GAUCCUGGCUCAGAUUGGACGCUGGCGGCGUGCUUAACACAUGCAAGUCGAACGCGAAAGUGGCUUCGGCCACGAGUAGAGUGGCGCACGGGUGAGUAACGCGUGGAUAAUCUACCUCUGCAAUCGGAAUAACGACUGGAAACGGUCGCUAAUACCGGAUACGCUUAAGUUUUACCUCUUAAGGAAAGAUGACCUCUAUUUAUAAGUUAUCGUGCAGAGAUGAGUCCGCGUCCCAUUAGCUUGUUGGCGGGG
rnacentral:rRNA from 1 species